AUUGAACGCUGGCGGCAGGCCUAACACAUGCAAGUCGAGCGGAUGAAGGGUGCUUGCUCCUGGAUUCAGCGGCGGACGGGUGAGUAAUGCCUAGGAAUCUGCCUGGUAGUGGGGGAUAACGUCCGGAAACGGGCGCUACUACCGCAUCCGUCCUGAUGGAGCAAGUGGGGGAUCUUCGGCCCUCACGCUAUCAGAUGACCCUAGGUCGGAUUAGCUAGGUGGUGGGGUAAAGGCCUACCAAGGCGACGAUCCGUAACUGGUCUGAGAGGCUGAUCAGUCACACGGGAACUGAGACACGGUCCAGACUCCGACGGGAGGCAGCAGGGGGGAAUAGUGGACAAAGGGCGAAAGCCUGAUCCAGCCAUGGCGCGUGUGAGAAGAAGGUCUUCGGAUUGUAAAGCACUGUAAGUAGGGAGGAAGGGGAGUAAGAUAAUACCUUGAUGUUGUGACGGUACCAAAAGAAUAAGCACCGGCUAACUUCGUG
rnacentral:rRNA from 1 species